AGAGUUUGAUCCUGGCUUAGGACGAACGCUGGCGGCGUGCUUAACACAUGCAAGUCGAACGGGAGUAUUGAAGAAGCUUGCUUUAGAGAUACUUAGUGGCGGACGGGUGAGUAACGCGUGAGGAGCUGUCCUAUGCAGGGGGACAACAGCUGGAAACGGCUGCUAAUACCCCAUAAGCCGAGAGGUAAAAGGAUCAAUCCGGCAGAGGAGGUACUCGCGUCCUAUCAGCUAGUAGGUGAGGUAACGGCUCACCUAGGCGAAGACGGGUAGCCGGCCUGAGAGGGCGAACGGCCACACUGGAACUGAGAUACGGUCCAGACUCCUACGGGAGGCAGCAGUGGGGAAUAUUGGGCAAUGGGGGAAACCCUGACCCAGCGACGCCGCGUGGGUGAAGAAAUCCUUCGGGAUGUAAAGCCCUGUUGUAUGGGAAGAGCGGAAGACGGUACCAUACGAGGAAGCCCCGGCAAACUACGUGCCAGCAGCCGC
rnacentral:rRNA from 1 species